UACGAAGGGGGCUAGCGUUGCUCGGAAUCACUGGGCGUAAAGCGCACGUAGGCGGAUUGUUAAGUCAGGGGUGAAAUCCUGGAGCUCAACUCCAGAACUGCCUUUGAUACUGGCGAUCUUGAGUCCGGGAGAGGUGAGUGGAACUGCGAGUGUAGAGGUGAAAUUCGUAGAUAUUCGCAAGAACACCAGUGGCGAAGGCGGCUCACUGGCCCGGUACUGACGCUGAGACGCGAAAGCGUGGGGAGCGAACGGG
rnacentral:rRNA from 1 species